rnacentral:tRNA from 1 species
AGUGAAGUGCCUGAAAAAGGGUAAUUUUGAUAGAAUUAAUCAUAUAGGCCAAUCCUAUCUUCACUU